CAGCAUUGCAAGUCCAGGUUGCUGGGUUGUCUGUGAACUGAACUCGCUCCUAUUAUAGCCCUUUUGUUUCGCCUUAACAAUCGGUCUUUAUUCCAGUCCUGUACUUGGCACCGUUUAGCUGCCUGACUCCAAGCUUAACCACCCUGCCUCUUCUGCUUAAAGCAUUGAAGCAAAUAUAUAUAGUAAACGUGGUGGGCCUCUCCACAGUCUGAAACAUCAGUGGUGUGGAGUAUAAUUCUAUAAUCUACUACAUAUAUGAUUAUUAUACACGACCACACGACCAAAGGACAGAGAGACUGCCUUAUUCAGAGAAGGAGAGUGAAAAAAACAAAGAGGGAAGUUAAAAAAGUUGGGGUUUUCAAAUUUUGUAAAGCGGUGUUCUCAGGACUGAGAGGAGGCGUGUCUAGCUGCACUUUACCUGCUUUGCAGAAUUCGCUCGUCUGUUUUAAAACGACAUGCACUCGAUCUGAAUUGCAACACCAAGACCACGGACAGCAGAAAGAAGAGCGGGGUGUGCAGGAGCUGGCCCCUGGCAGAGAGCGGUCUAGGGCUGCUCCUCUUUGGGUUGGUGGUGUGACAGUGUAACCAUCCCUCAGCACCUGGGGUUUACUGCCAUGUCAGAGCGAAGAGGCCCGAGCAGAGCCUGCAGCUCGACUGGAUAUCUACCCAGCUGAGUGAGAGGGGGUUGCGGGAGCUGCCCAACCUGGGAGUUGUGACUGAAGUAAUGCAAUGCAACGGUAUCCCUGGUGGGAUUUCAUGUGUGGCCGGCUUGCUGGUGGAGAUUCUGCAAAGAGAAUUAAAGCAUUGAGGUGCUUAGUGAUCCUACAACAGAUUAUGCAUUGUGAAGCUUUUCUUCAAGAGGAAAAGGAUUCUCUCCACUGCUCCAUGCACCAAAAGUUAUAGGUCAUGAAAAGCAGGUCUGCAGCAGCCCAGGGACCAGAGCGUCUCACUGGACUCCAGUCACAGAGGAGGAGGGACGGGGUCCAGCUUCAAAAACAUCAGCGUUCAUUUCAAACCUCAGGACUGUUGAGUGUGGAUGAGUGAAACAGCAGAGACACUGUGCUGUGAUGUACAGCAAUGGAAAUCGAAUAUGAGAACGGUUUAGAAUGUGUCAGCCUAGUAGUGAUGUCACGCUGUGCAUAACCCAUACUGCACGACGCUUCAUAGAACUUCCUGACUUGUGAUUUAUAAUCAGGUAACACGUCUUAUCAUAAUAGACCUAAUCUCUUUGGGCAAACUGUCCAAGAUGCUUACAACAACACCCUAAACACGCCACUUUUUAAACUUAG